CAAGACCUUGCGCUUUUGGAGCGGCCGAUGUCUGAUUAGCUAGUUGGUGAGGUAAAGGCUUACCAAGGCGUCGAUCAGUAGCUGGUCUGAGAGGACGACCAGCCCCACUGGGACUGAGACACGGCCCAGACUCCUACGGGAGGCAGCAGUGGGGAAUUUUGGACAAUGGGGGAAACCCUGAUCCAGCCAUGCCGCGUGAGUGAAGAAGNCCUUCGGGUUGUAAAGCUCUUUCAGCCGGAACGAAACGGUCNCGGUUAAUACCCGUGACUACUGACGGUNCCGGAAGAAGAAGCNCCGGCUAACUACGUNCCANCANCCGCGGUAAUACGUAGGGUGCGAGCGUUAAUCGGAAUUACUGGGCGUAAAGCGUGCNCAGGCGGUUUUGUAAGUCAGAUGUGAAAUCCCCGGGCUUANCCUGGGAACU
rnacentral:rRNA from 1 species